rnacentral:rRNA from 1 species
GACGAACGCUGGCGGCGUGCUUAACACGUGUAAGUCGAACGGAAAGGCCCCUUCGGGGGUACUCGAGUGGCGAACGGGUGAGUAACACGUGGGCAAUCUGCCCUGCACUUCGGGAUAAGCCUGGGAAACUGGGUCUAAUACCGAAUAGGACCCCGAGGCGCAUGCCUUGGGGUGGAAAGCUUUUGCGGUGUGGGAUGGGC